AGUGAACGCUGGCGGUAGGCCUAACACAUGCAAGUCGAACGGCAGCACAGUAAGAGCUUGCUCUUACGGGUGGCGAGUGGCGGACGCGUGAGGAAUACAUCGGAAACUACUUUUUCGUGGGGGAUAACGUAGGGAAACUUACGCUAACACCGCAUACGACCUACGGGUGAAAGCAGGGGAUCUUCGGACCUUGCGCGAUUGUAUGAGCCGAUGUCGGAUUAGCUAGUUUGCGGGGUAAAGGCACACCAAGGCGACGAUCCGUGGAUGGCCUGAGCGCAUGAACAGCCACACUGGAACUGAGACAGGGUCCCGACUCCUGAGGGAGGCAACAGUGGGGAAUAUUGGACAAAGGGGCAAAGCCCGAUCCAGCCAUACCGCGUGGGUCAAGAAGGACUUCGGGUUGUAAAGCCCUUUUGUUGGGAGAGAAAAGCAGCACGUUAAUACACCGCGGUACUGACGGUACCCAAAGAAUAAGCACCGGCUAACUUCGUG
rnacentral:rRNA from 1 species